AGCAUGUGAAUAGAGGAUGAAUACUUGUGGAAAAGUUUGUUAAGAGUAUGGCGUAAGGAUGUUGUAGCGGCAGCCUAGUGUGCACCCCAGACCCCCGCGACGCCUAACAAGUUAACAGCACAUGGGAGAGGAGCGCAUGUGUCCAACAGAGCGGUUGAGUCCCUUUCCUCCCAUGUGCAGCCUGCAGGGAAAGCAAUGUGCACUAAUGGUGACUGGCUUGUGACAUUCAGUUGCGAUAGAGGACAUCGCUUCACUGGAGACCUUGCAGAAGCCAUAUACGAACAGCCAGCAUAGCCAGUUCUACAAUGUGGGCAGAUUUCCUUUUCCUCAUCCAAAACAUGUGCACGCUUAUGGAAACCCACAAAAAAAAACGGCAUAAAGUGAGUGCUCUGGAGCCUCCUGAGUGGAUCGUCUGGGAGGACAAAGCUCCUGCAGGGGAGACGACGAAGCCAGGGAUGUGCAACAAUAAGACGGAUGGAGGGAGCGAUGAAGAGGGAGUGGACUGGGGGAGGGGAAUAAGUGCCAGGCUCAGCUUUUUUUCUUCCCUCUCCUCAACUGAAGAUGUGCGGCCAUCUGCGAGGAGACAAACACACGUAUGGCCGUCAUUUGUCCAACAUCUUACGUGAUGCGAAGGCCUUUCUCUCGCCAUGCCAACCUGCGUGGCAGAUGAUGUAUGUGUUUCUUCAGUCCCGUGAUUACUAGCAUGGAGCUGCAGAGCAAUGCUCUUCACCUCAUCAGUUCCACAGGCUGCGCUCCGAGGUGGCUGAGGGAUUCGCUGCGAGAUGCCUUCUGACACGCAGCACAACCAGGGCGGAGCAGCAUGAAUAUUAUACAGUGCAUUUUACCACAGCCACCCACUGUGAACAGAUCAAUCGAGGUGGAUGAGGUGAAUUAGAAUUUUAAUAGAGUGCCUAGGAGCAGUAAUUAAAAAGAAUGAUUAUAUUUUUCCUAAAUGUAUGAAAAAGUGAACGGUCCAUUGGGGCGGUGUAAAGCUGCUUUGGUCUAAUGUACAUUACCUAUUUGUCUCGUGUGUCCUUUGUGGAAACUUUCUUCAUUGAACUCAAAUGGUUCAGAUUUGUUUUCAUGAUUAUUUUGGUCUGUAAUGUGGCUAUUACUUUGUACACCACCUCAUCAGCAGUUUUAAUGUUUAUAUGUAAAUAGAGACAGUACAGUUGUGUAGGACAGCAAUGGAAUGUGCAGCGAAAUGUCUAUAACAUGCAAUAUUUUUUCAGAGUUUUAAUGGGGGUAGGCUGGAACAAUGAAUGACACUGCCAUUUCUUUUAGUCGGGAAAGCUGAUAUGAUUUCAGUAAAGAGCACAGCAAACAAAAUAUCUUGGCAUCACUAAGAUAGACAGCUUUUUUGUUUAGGUUUCCAAAAGCAUUUUUUAAAAUCAAAUUUAU